GGGUUGUGAGGUUAAGCGACUAAGCGUACACGGUGGAUGCCCUGGCAGUCAGAGGCGAUGAAGGACGUGCUAAUCUGCGAAAAGCGUCGGUAAGGUGAUAUGAACCGUUACAGCCGGCGAUGUCCGAAUGGGGAAACCCAGUGCAAUUCGUUGCACUAUCGUUAACUGAAUACAUAGGUUAACGAGGCGAACCGGGGGAACUGAAACAUCUAAGUACCCCGAGGAAAAGAAAUCAACCGAGAUUCCCCCAGUAGCGGCGAGCGAACGGGGAGCAGCCCAGAGUCUGAAUCAGCUUGUGUGUUAGUGGAACGGUCUGGAAAGUCCGACGGUACAGGGUGAUAGUCCCGUACACCAAAAUGCACAGGUUGUGAACUCGAAGAGUAGGGCGGGACACGUGGUAUCCUGUCUGAAUAUGGGGGGACCAUCCUCCAAGGCUAAAUACUCCUGACUGACCGAUAGUGAACCAGUACCGUGAGGGAAAGGCGAAAAGAACCCCGGCGAGGGGAGUGAAAAAGAACCUGAAACCGUGUACGUACAAGCAGUGGGAGCACCUUCGGGUGUGACUGCGUACCUUUUGUAUAAUGGGUCAGCGACUUAUAUUCUGUAGCAAGGUUAACCGUAUAGGGGAGCCGCAGGGAAACCGAGUCUUAACUGGGCGUUAAGUUGCAGGGUAUAGACCCGAAACCCGGUGAUCUAGCCAUGGGCAGGUUGAAGGUUGGGUAACACUAACUGGAGGACCGAACCGACUAAUGUUGAAAAAUUAGCGGAUGACUUGUGGCUGGGGGUGAAAGGCCAAUCAAACCGGGAGAUAGCUGGUUCUCCCCGAAAGCUAUUUAGGUAGCGCCUCGUGAACUCAUCUUCGGGGGUAGAGCACUGUUUCGGCUAGGGGGUCAUCCCGACUUACCAACCCGAUGCAAACUACGAAUACCGAAGAAUGUUAUCACGGGAGACACACGGCGGGUGCUAACGUCCGUCGUGAAGAGGGAAACAACCCAGACCGCCAGCUAAGGUCCCAAAGUCAUGGUUAAGUGGGAAACGAUGUGGGAAGGCACAGACAGCCAGGAUGUUGGCUUAGAAGCAGCCAUCAUUUAAAGAAAGCGUAAUAGCUCACUGGUCGAGUCGGCCUGCGCGGAAGAUGUAACGGGGCUAAACCAUGCACCGAAGCUGCGGCAGCGACACUAUGUGUUGUUGGGUAGGGGAGCGUUCUGUAAGCCUGCGAAGGUGUGCUGUGAGGCAUGCUGGAGGUAUCAGAAGUGCGAAUGCUGACAUAAGUAACGAUAAAGCGGGUGAAAAGCCCGCUCGCCGGAAGACCAAGGGUUCCUGUCCAACGUUAAUCGGGGCAGGGUGAGUCGACCCCUAAGGCGAGGCCGAAAGGCGUAGUCGAUGGGAAACAGGUUAAUAUUCCUGUACUUGGUGUUACUGCGAAGGGGGGACGGAGAAGGCUAUGUUAGCCGGGCGACGGUUGUCCCGGUUUAAGCAUGUAGGCUGAUUGUCCAGGCAAAUCCGGAUAAUCAAGGCUGAGGUGUGAUGACGAGGCACUACGGUGCUGAAGUAACAAAUGCCCUGCUUCCAGGAAAAGCCUCUAAGCAUCAGGUAACAUCAAAUCGUACCCCAAACCGACACAGGUGGUCAGGUAGAGAAUACCAAGGCGCUUGAGAGAACUCGGGUGAAGGAACUAGGCAAAAUGGUGCCGUAACUUCGGGAGAAGGCACGCUGGUGUGUAGGUGAAGUCCCUGCGGAUGGAGCUGAGACCAGUCGAAGAUACCAGCUGGCUGCAACUGUUUAUUAAAAACACAGCACUGUGCAAACACGAAAGUGGACGUAUACGGUGUGACGCCUGCCCGGUGCCGGAAGGUUAAUUGAUGGGGUUAUCCGUAAGGAGAAGCUCUUGAUCGAAGCCCCGGUAAACGGCGGCCGUAACUAUAACGGUCCUAAGGUAGCGAAAUUCCUUGUCGGGUAAGUUCCGACCUGCACGAAUGGCGUAAUGAUGGCCAGGCUGUCUCCACCCGAGACUCAGUGAAAUUGAACUCGCUGUGAAGAUGCAGUGUACCCGCGGCAAGACGGAAAGACCCCGUGAACCUUUACUAUAGCUUGACACUGAACAUUGAGCCUUGAUGUGUAGGAUAGGUGGGAGGCUUUGAAGCGUGGACGCCAGUCUGCGUGGAGCCAACCUUGAAAUACCACCCUUUAAUGUUUGAUGUUCUAACGUUGGCCCCUGACCGGGGUUGCGGACAGUGUCUGGUGGGUAGUUUGACUGGGGCGGUCUCCUCCCAAAGCGUAACGGAGGAGCACGAAGGUUAGCUAAUCCUGGUCGGACAUCAGGAGGUUAGUGCAAUGGCAUAAGCUAGCUUGACUGCGAGCGUGACGGCGCGAGCAGGUGCGAAAGCAGGUCAUAGUGAUCCGGUGGUUCUGAAUGGAAGGGCCAUCGCUCAACGGAUAAAAGGUACUCCGGGGAUAACAGGCUGAUACCGCCCAAGAGUUCAUAUCGACGGCGGUGUUUGGCACCUCGAUGUCGGCUCAUCACAUCCUGGGGCUGAAGUAGGUCCCAAGGGUAUGGCUGUUCGCCAUUUAAAGUGGUACGCGAGCUGGGUUUAGAACGUCGUGAGACAGUUCGGUCCCUAUCUGCCGUGGGCGCUGGAGAAUUGAGGGGGGCUGCUCCUAGUACGAGAGGACCGGAGUGGACGCAUCACUGGUGUUCGGGUUGUCAUGCCAAUGGCACUGCCCGGUAGCUAAAUGCGGAAGAGAUAAGUGCUGAAAGCAUCUAAGCACGAAACUUGCCCCGAGAUGAGUUCUCCCUGAGACUAUAAGUCUCCUGAAGGAACGUUGAAGACGACGACGUUGAUAGGCCGGGUGUGUAAGCGCAGCGAUGCGUUGAGCUAACCGGUACUAAUGAACCGUGAGGCUUAACCUUACAACGCCGAAG
rnacentral:rRNA from 2 species